rnacentral:rRNA from 1 species
AAUGGAGGAAACUCUGAUGCAGCGAUGCCGCGUGAGUGAAGAAGGCCUUUGGGUUGUAAAGCUCUUUCGUCGGGGAAGAAAAUGACUGUACCCGAAUAAGAAGGUCCGGCUAACUUCGUGCCAGCAGCCGCGGUAAUACGAAGGGACCUAGCGUAGUUCGGAAUUACUGGGCUUAAAGAGUUCGUAGGUGGUUGAAAAAGUUGGAGGUGAAAUCCCAGAGCUUAACUCUGGAACUGCCAUCAAAACUUUUCAGCUAGAGUUUGAUAGAGGAAAGCAGAAUUUCUAGUGUAGAGGUGAAAUUCGUAGAUAUUAGAAAGAAUACCAAUUGCGAAGGCAGCUUUCUGGAUCAUUAUUGACACUGAGGAACGAAAGCAUGGGUAGCGAAGAGGAUU